GGGAGGCAGCAGUGGGGAAUCUUGCACAAUGGGGGAAACCCUGAUGCAGCGACGCCGCGUGAGCGAUGAAGCCCUUCGGGGUGUAAAGCUCUUUCGGCAGGGACGAUUAUGACGGUACCUGCAGAAGAAGCUGCGGCUAACUACGUGCCAGCAGCCGCGGUAAUACGUAGGCAGCAAGCGUUGUUCGGAAUUACUGGGCGUAAAGAGUGCGUAGGCGGUUGGCUAAGUUUGGUGUGAAAUCUCCCGGCUCAACUGGGAGGGUGCGCCGAGGACUGGCCGGCUAGAGUGUGGGAGAGGAAAGCGGAAUUCCUGGUGUAGCGGUGAAAUGCGUAGAUAUCAGGAGGAACACCGGUGGUGUAGACGGCUUUCUGGACCACUACUGACGCUGAGGCACGAAAGCGUGGGGAGCAAACAGGAUUAGAUACCCUGGU
rnacentral:rRNA from 1 species